rnacentral:rRNA from 1 species
UGGGGAAUUUUGGACAAUGGGCGAAAGCCUGAUCCAGCAAUGCCGCGUGUGUGAAGAAGGCCUUCGGGUUGUAAAGCACUUUUGUCCGGAAAGAAAUCCUUGGCUCUAAUACAGUCGGGGGAUGACGGUACCGGAAGAAUAAGCACCGGCUAACUACGUGCCAGCAGCCGCGGUAAUACGUAGGGUGCAAGCGUUAAUCGGAAUUACUGGGCGUAAAGCGUGCGCAGGCGGUUUGCUAAGACCGAUGUGAAAUCCCCGGGCUCAACCUGGGAACUGCAUUGGUGACUGGCAGGCUAGAGUAUGGCAGAGGGGGGUAGAAUUCCACGUGUAGCAGUGAAAUGCGUAGAGAUGUGGAGGAAUACCGAUGGCGAAGGCAGCCCCCUGGGCCAAUACUGACGCUCAUGCACGAAAAGCGUGGGGGAGCAAACAGGAUUAGAUACCCUGGUAGUCCACGCCCUAAACGAUGUCAACUAGUUGUUGGGGAUUCAUUUCCUUAGUAACGUAGCUAACGCGUGAAGUUGACCGCCUGGGGAGUACGGUCGCAAGAUUAAAACUCAAAUGAAUUGACGGGGUCAUAGCUGUUUCCU